rnacentral:rRNA from 1 species
UACGUAGGGGGCAAGCGUUGUCCGGAUUUAUUGGGCGUAAAGAGCGUGUAGGCGGCUUGGCAGGUCCGCUGUGAAAACUCGAGGCUCAACCUCGAGAUGUCGGCGGAAACCACUUGGCUAGAGUCCGGAAGAGGAGAGUGGAAUUCCCGGUGUAGCGGUGAAAUGCGUAGAUAUUGGGAAGAACAUCGGUGGCGAAAGCGCCUUGCUGGGUCUGCACUGACACUGAGGGACGAAAGCUAGGGGAGCGAAAGGG